rnacentral:rRNA from 1 species
AAACGUAGGGGGCGAGCGUUGUCCGGAAUUACUGGGCGUAAAGCGCGCGCAGGCGGUCCUUUAAGUCUGAUGUGAAAUUCCGCGGCUCAACCGCGGGUGUGCAUUGGAAACUGGGGGACUUGAGUGCGGAAGAGGGGAGCGGAAUUCCCGGUGUAGCGGUGAAAUGCGUAGAGAUCGGGAGGAACACCAGUGGCGAAGGCGGCUCUCUGGUCCGCAACUGACGCUGAGGCGCGAAAGCGUGGGGAGCGAACAGGAUUAGAUACCCUGGUAGUCCACGCCGUAAACGAUGAGUGCUAAGUGUUAGAGGGGAUUGACCCUUUAGUGCUGCAGCUAACGCAUUAAGCACUCCGCCUGGGGAGUACGGCCGCAAGGCUGAA